UGGCGGACGGGUGAGUAACGCGUGGGUAACCUGCCUCAUACAGGGGGAUAACAGUUAGAAAUGACUGCUAAUACCGCAUAAGACCACAGCACCGCAUGGUGUAGGGGUAAAAACUCCGGUGGUACGAGAUGGACCCGCGUCUGAUUAGGUAGUUGGUGGGGUAACGGCCUACCAAGCCGACGAUCAGUAGCCGACCUGAGAGGGUGACCGGCCACAUUGGGACUGAGACACGGCCCAA
rnacentral:rRNA from 1 species